rnacentral:lncRNA from 1 species
CAUGUGAGAAAGCUGUGUCAAUGUUUCGUUAAGUUCCCAUCUUUUUUCCCUGCGACGCUGACAAAGCGUUGGGUGUUAUGUCCCCAGGCCUCUUCUGGGCAAAGCGCUGCUCUCACCGUGCGUGCGGAGGUGCAAGGCCCCAUAGCUUUUGAGGAGACCUGCCUCACGUGGGCGCCCCGUGGCAGCAUCUGGAGUGUGCCGGGUCAGGGCUCGGGUCGUCCCCCCGGCAGGUGGAAAGUCAGGACGGCCGUGCCUCCUCUCGUAGGAGUGUCUCGUGGGAACGUUGGGAAGCUUGAAUCAGAUGACACAGCAACCCGCCCUCUCAGGUCACUGCCGAGAGGACCGUGCUUCUUCCGGGGCUGUGUCAUGAAUGCACUUUUAUCCCCCACACGCUCGUUCCCCCGUUUUUUCUGUUCUGUUCCAGUGAUUGAUAUAAAAUUACCAGGCGCCCCCAUCCACGGGCUCCCACGCGGCACUCAGCAGAGCAGCCUCAUCGCCGCCUCAUUUUCCCCCAUUUACUUUCAAAUCUCUCACCUUGGUCAAUUAGCAGCAGAUCCCACCCGUACAGAAGACGUUUUGGUGCCUUUUAAUUUCAGUCCCAGCGGAGGUGACACCCACAUUUAUACCGUUAUUCUGUAGCUCUAGCGACGGGGCCGUUGAGGUUCUGAAAACUUCAUCCACAGGCACCGCAUUUGCAUUUCAUGAGUCGUCUGUAGUGAGUGGAGUGUAUCCCUUCUCCCCUGAAUGAAAACAGCAGUGGCAGAGGCAGCAUUAAAGCAGCCGGGAAGGGCGGCCAGGCCACCUCAUGGCAACCGCCAGGCUUCCAAGGGCACAUCGCUCCUUCCGACCCUAAGCAACCAGCUGAGAACAUCAAAACGGCCUUGCCGCGCGCCUCCGCCCGCGUUAGUGUUGGCGGGCUGUUCCCUCCAUCGGGACUGACAGAGCCCUAAUUAUCAAGGUAAUUGGAAGUUAGAACACUGGCCAUGGGAAAGGGAGAACUUCUGGAGCCCAUUAACGAUGCUGCUUUAAGCACUCCGGCUGUGAACUGUUCGAAUCUCUAAUUACAUGACGCGUCUGUCUUCGGGGUGAUGUAAUUAACCAAUGGGAGAGAGGAUUCGUGUACAGACCGCUGCCAACACUUGUAAGUACUGUUUUCACAGGCACGGCUGCGGCAACGUCUUUGCAUUUUCUGCCACUUAACCGUACAGCGCACGGAGCUGAAAAAAUCCCAACCUCGUAGGAUGCUUUUGUUCUUUCUUUUCCCCAUUUAAUGUGUUUCUUUACACAUAUGAUGUAUUUGCCCAAAUUCGAAGAUGAACCCGGGUGCCUUGAGUUUCUACAUAACAUGUAGAUUCUUUUUUUUUUUUUUAGUGGCCACACCCAUGGCAUGUGGAAGCUCCCGGGCCAGGGACUGAUCCCAAGCUGCAGCUGCACCUUCACCGCAGCUUCUGCAACACAGGCUCCUCUGAGGCUCCGCCCCAGGCCAGGGAUCGGAUCCUCGCUCUCCACAGUCACCUGAGCCACUGCGGUCGGAUUUCUAAUCCACUGCACCACAGUGGGAACUCCGAGGUUCUACUCUUGACACGUAUAAACUCUUAAACACUAUGCCUGUCCCUCUGCUGCAGAAUCAAUGUGUUUC